rnacentral:rRNA from 1 species
UACGGAGGAUGCAAGCGUUAUCCGGAAUUAUUGGGCGUAAAGCGUCCGUAGGUGGCUUUACAAGUCAGCUGUUAAAGCGUGGAGCUUAACUCCAUAAAGGCAGUUGAAACUGUGAGGCUAGAGUGCGGUAGGGGUAAGGGGAAUUCCUAGUGUAGCGGUGAAAUGCGUAGAUAUUAGGAAGAACACCGGUGGCGAAAGCGCCUUGCUGGACCUGCACUGACACUGAGGGACGAAAGCUAGGGGAGCGAAUGGG